GAUGAACGCUGGUGGCGUGCCUAACACAUGCAAGUCGAGCGAUUCUCUUCGGAGAAGAGCGGCGGACGGGUGAGUAACGCGUGGGUAACCUGCCCUGUACACACGGAUAACAUACCGAAUGGUAUGCUAAUACGAGAUAUCAUGCUUUUAUCGCAUGGCAGCAGUAUCAAAGCUUUUGCGGUACAGGAUGGGCUCGCGUCUGAUUAGCUACUUGGUGGGGUAACGGCACAGCAAGGCGUGGAACAGUAGCCGACCUGUGAGGGUGAUCGGCCACAUUGGAGAUGAGACACGGUCCAAACUCCUACGGGAGGGAGCAGUGGAGAAUAUUGCAGGAGGGGCGAAAACCUGAUGCAGCAGCGCGGGGUGAGCGAGGAAGGGGGUCGGGAAGUAAAGCUGUGUGCGCAGGGGAGAUAAUGACGGUACUUGAGGAGGAAGCCCCGGCUAACUACGUG
rnacentral:rRNA from 1 species